CUUAACAAGUGUGAAGGUGUUGCUCUUUGGGAGGUCGAAUGAAAAGGGAAAGUACACAGUUAAUGGCAAGACCUUUAACAGCAUUAAUGUUCAGAGGGAUCUUGAUGUCUAGGCCCAU